rnacentral:lncRNA from 1 species
AUGCUUCCUAUCAGAAUAGCGGUUAUAUUCGGAGUGGUGCUCUGCACAAAUGCUACGUUUUUCGAGGGGGAAAGUGACGAAAGCUACGAGGAUGAUCGGGAAAGCACCAACAACGAGGAAUUCCCAGAGGAAUAUUCGGAAUUGGAGGGCGAAGAUGAGAACGAAGGCAGAGCUGAACAUGUAGGCGGAGAGGAUUUCGGAGAGGGCCAGCAGAGAAGCCUUCACCGGCAGAAAAUCAAGAUCAAAUUAGUGAAAAAUGAGUCGCUUUUGAACCUAGUCGGGCAGCAGGUCCAGGAGCAGCACAGCCUCGACGUUGGUAGUCCCUUCGAGUCGAUGAUGGUCCCGCUUGGGCAGAAGGUGAAGAGCAAGCUCCGGAGACAUAAACAUAAACAUCAUAAACAUCAACAUCAACAACAACAUCAAACCGGAGAGGAUUUCGAGUCGGUGCCGGUUGUGGACGGAGCGCAGCAGUCUAGCAAACUCGUGGUCGCGCCGCCUUUGCUGUCGUCGUUACUGGACAAGGUCCUGAAACCAGCCCGGAAUACCUCAAAGGAGGCUGAAGAUCUCGGGAAUCCUAAAAAGUUAAAUGAGCCAACAGUACCUGCCGUAUGCUAUUUUUGGCCCCAAGGAAACGUUCGGACUUUCGACAACAAAGUUUUCAGUUAUAAAAGUGGUGCUCUACUAAAACUGAUCGAGUCAAGUUCAUUCGUAGUGGAUGUUCAGGUGGAUCACUCACUCUGUAUUCAAUCUGCCACUCCAACUCAGAACUGUAUUCAAGUGACAACUAUUAUUUUGGUCAACGAUAAAGAAUACGUGAUAAAACACGACGUAAACGGCACGUUUAAAGUAUACACUGCAGAGACAGAGCACCCAGUACCAUGCAAAUUCGAUGGAUUUGAAGCUAAGAAAUUAUCAGCAAAUACUUUUGUAGUCAAUGCAAAUGAAGAUACUUUAUCCAUUCAAGGAACAAAUAAAGGGAUUAUAAAAGUAACGGUUCAAAGAUUGAAUGUGAAACCGGUGAGUGGUUUAUGCGGAAAUUUGGACGGAAACCCAGAUAACGAUGUGUCUGCUGCUGAUGUCAAAUCUUUCGUCAAGAAAUGUGAGGAGGGCCGUAUUUUCUCGUUCAUAAAAAAAUGGAAAAAUAUUCUGUUCUCAGAGGGAAAAAUCACAGCGACUGAUUUUUCCGAGGCAGCCAUUAAAGACUCAUUCUGUUACGCUUUAAAACAAAAUCCGAAGUUCGCUGAAUGCAGAAAGUGAGUAAUCCAUAAUUAUUUUUUAAAAUUAAAUAUAUCAGUUGGUGAUCAUACCCAUGACGACGUAGUGUAGUGUAUUGCGCCAACAUGUAUACAU